GAUUAUAAGGAAGAACCUUACCCAGUCUUGACAUACUGAGGAACAAUUAGAGAAUAGUCCGUUCCUCUUGGGGCUCACAUACAAGGGGUGCCAGGGUGUUGUCAACUCCUGUUGUGGGAAGUUUGGGUUAAUUCCCCCACAAGGGCCACCCCCUUUCUUUAUUGCCCCCCCGUUAAGGUGGGCACUCUAAGGAGACUGCCGGGGAUAACCCGGAGGAAGGCGGGGAUGACGUCAAAUCAUCAUGCCCCUUAUGAUCUGGGCUACACACGUGCUACAAUGGCGUUAACAAAGGGAAGCGAACCCGCGAGGGUGAGCAAAUCCCAAAAAUCACGUCUCAGUUCGGAUUGUAGUCUGCAACUCGACUACAUGAAGCUGGAAUCGCUAGUAAUCGCA
rnacentral:rRNA from 1 species